GCCAGGGGUGGUGGCUCACGCCUGUAGUCCCAGCACUUUGGGAGGCCAAGGCAGAUGGAUCACUUGAGGGCAGGAGUUCGAGAUCAGCUUGCACAAUAUGGCAAAACCCCGUCUGUACUAAAAAUACAAAAAUUAGCUGGGUUUGGUGGUGCGUACCUGUAAUCCCAGCUAAUCGGGUGGCUGAGACAGGAGGAUUGUUUGAGACUGGAAGUUGCAGUGAGCCGAGAUUGAGCAACUGCACUCCAGCCUGGGCAAUAGAGUGAGACUCUGUCUUU
ensembl:misc_RNA Metazoa_SRP Metazoan signal recognition particle RNA